rnacentral:ncRNA from 1 species
AUUUAAAAAUCGCUAAUAGCUCAUAUAUUUCUGAUAAUAUGGUUCAGAAGUCUCUACGAGGUAACCGUAAAAAUCCUCUCUAUGAGUAAACUAACUGGUAUU